CACGUAGGGUGCGAGCGUUGUCCGGAAUUAUUGGGCGUAAAGAGCUCGUAGGCGGUGUGUCGCGUCGGCCGUGAAAAACCUGCAGCUUAACUGUGGGCUUGCGGUCGAUACGGGGCAUCACUGGAGUUCGGCAGGGGAGACUGGAAUUCCUGGUGUAGCGGUGAAAUGCGCAGAUAUCAGGAGGAACACCGAUGGCGAAGGCAGAUCUCUGGGCCGUAACUGACGCUGAGGAGCGAAAAGCAUGGGGGAGCGAAACAGGG
rnacentral:rRNA from 1 species